UACGGAGGGUGCGAGCGUUGUCCGGAAUCAUUGGGCGUAAAGGGCGCGUAGGUGGCCCGGUCAGUUCGUGGUGAAAGCGCGGGGCUCAACCCUGCGUCGGCCAUGAAUACUGCCGCGGCUGGAGCACUGUAGAGGCAGGCGGAAUUCCACGUGUAGCGGUGAAAUGCGUAGAGAUGUGGAGGAACACCAGUGGCGAAGGCGACUCUUUGGCCUGUAACUGACACUGAGGCGCGAAAGCGUGGGGAGCAAACAGG
rnacentral:rRNA from 1 species